AGAGCUCGGAAAUCUCUGCGUCCCGACGGUGUUCCCGUUGUCCCGCACGCAAUGCGGUACCACGAUCACAGACAGGCAGAGGGGAGGGUCUGAGAUGCCGCUUUCUGACCGAGAGGUCACAUGCCACGAGGUGUGGGUCGCCAACCAGAAAAAUGUGAGCAGAUACGAGAGCAAGUGCACCCCGCAUUUUUGCGGACGAGUGCCGUGUUCCCGCGUCUGAUUGAAAGAGGCAGACUGGCACGGGCGCCAGGAUUGGCAGGGGCUUUUCUGCUCUGGGAUCCUGUCGUUUAUGGCUUGAGUUCAAUUUUCGAGACGUCUGCUUUUGCACCUUUCGUGCAAUCGCACACGAACUUGAUUCAGACUACUCCUGGCACUCA
rnacentral:RNase_P_RNA from 1 species